CUAAGCAGAGCCCUUGAAUGGUAAAGCCGCGAAUGGCUCAUUACAACAGCCACAGUUUAUUGGGUCUCCAUUUACUUGGAUAACUGAGCUAAUUGUUGAGCUAAUACACGCACCAAAGCUUCGACCUCACGGGAGGAGCGCAUUUAUUAGAACAAAACCAAUCGGACUUCGGUCCGUCCAUUGGUGAAUCUAAAUAACUUAGCCGAUCGCAUGGUCUCGCACCGGCGACUCACCUUUCAAAUGUCUGCCUUAUCACCUUUCGAUGGUAGUUUAUACGCCUACCAUGGGUUUUACGGGUAACGGAGAAUAAGGGUUCGACUCCGGAGAGGGAGCCUGAGAAACGGCUACCACAUCCAAGGAAGGCAGCAGGCACGCAAAUUACCCACUCCCGGCACGGGGAGGUAGUGACGAAAAAUAACGAGGCGGUUCUCUAUGAGGCCCGCCAUCGGAAUGGGUACAAUCUAAAU
rnacentral:rRNA from 1 species